rnacentral:ncRNA from 1 species
GUCCAUCAGUUUCCGUUUGUGCAUCUCGGUUGAAGCAAGGUGAUACUUGUCCGAGAGCCUUCUAAGGGCGACCGAAAGUCCUAAAGUAGCUAACAAGAGUUGAGGUGAUAGCCUCUUUGAGAUGUUACCUGUGAGUUGUGAAACGUUGCAGGACUAGUAAAAGCUAGUGUGAAGAUGGAGGUGUGCCGCAAUAACAUAAUCAUAGAGCAUAAGUCUUUUCGUUGGAUAGAAGUAAGCACAUGCCGACAGGGUGAUGACUUUACCAGAUAAGGGCAAGCGUGAUAGCCUUGCCAAACUCUGGACUAAAUCAAACAAUCCAAUUUGCCGUGAACAGAAGAAAUUCUGGUAUAAGAAAAGCGCUUAGUAUGAGUAGCACAAGGCAAACAAACAGAUAAUUAUAUGAAAGCAUAUCAUAACAAAUCUGUAUCGUGUGAAAGUUGGUGGGUUUCGUUCCCAGCCCUAACAUUAAAAGCAAUAGGAGCUUAAGGAGUUGCUACUUUAAGUAGAGCCUAUUGGGUUAGUCGCUUAAUAAUGAGAGUGUUAUUGUGGUUGGAGAAAAACCGCACAAUUAAGGGUUAUUCG